rnacentral:rRNA from 1 species
AUGGCCAUACCACAUUGAAAACACCGGUUCUCGUCCGAUCACCGAAGUUAAGCAAUGUCGGGCCCGGUCAGUACUUGGGAGGGUGACCACCUGGGAACACCGGGUGCUGUAGGCU